ACAAGUUGAGAAAUUCUCUAUUGUGUGUCUGUGCUGCCCCAGUGUGCGUGUCGGUGGGCCGCUAUAGUCGCUAUAGUUCAAAAUUUAGUGAGCAAACGCCGAACCAAGUGAAAGUGACGUUGAAAACAACAACAACAACAGAAAAAAACAACCAAACACACAUUAACAAGUGAAAGCCUUUAAUAUAGUUAACAAACAAUUAGCAAACAUGUCGGACAAUGAGGAUAUUGUUGCUGCCUCCGAGGAGCAGGCCAGUCCCGAUUCGGUGCCAGCUGCCGAUGCGGAGAGCAAAAGCAGCGUUGUUACGGAACGCACCGAGGAGAUAAUACCCGGCGAGAGCGAGAAAAUGGUCACCGAAACCAUCGAUGAGGAUGGCGAUGUUGUUGAGGAGACAACCGAAGUCACCCGCAAGACCGUUAAGCGUACCAUGAAAAUAACCGAGACUUCGUCCACCACAAAGACAACAACGCUCACCACGCCGGCCAAGCUGUACGGCAAGGAUUUGAGCGAAUACGACGAUGUGGACGUGGAGAGCUUGUUGGCGCAGUUGUCACCCGAGGAGAUAACCAUACUGGCCAAAGAAGUUGAUCCCGAUGACAACUUCCUGCCGCCAGAUCAGCGCUGCAGCUACGAGUGCACCAAGGAUGCCACUGGGCCGCUGAAUCGCAAACAGCUUAUCGAGCAUAUUAACAAGCAGGCAAUUGAGACGCCCGAUCAGCCGGAGUUCGAGCCCUAUGUGCAGGGCAAGGUGCGCGGCAAGAAAUGGGUGCCACCGCCGCGUGAUGCCCGUGAUAUUGAGGCAGAGGAACAGAUCGCUAUUGACAUGGGCGAGGAGUAUGAGCAUGCGCUCAAUGAUGCCACGCAGGAAGAGAUUAUCGAUUUGGCUGCCAUUCUUGGCUUCCACUCGAUGAUGAAUCAGGAUCAGUACCAUGCCUCGCUGCUGAACAAGGGACAGCCGGUUGGCUUGGGCUGGGAUGGCAUCACAAAGUCCACACAGCAAAAGCUGUUCCCCAUGGAUCCGCCCAACAGCACAGAUGUUGAGGAGUCGAUUAAGCGCGUCAAGGAUGAUGAUUCCAAGCUGAUUGACCUGAACUUGAAUAACAUUAAGAAUAUAUCGGAUGAGAAGCUCGAACAACUCUUUGCCGCACUGCCUCAGAAUGAACAUUUGGAAGUUCUAUCGCUGACAAACGUCGGCCUGACCGAUAAGACAGCUCUCCUGCUCGCCGAAGCGAUCGAGAAAAGCAAAACCCUGAGAGUAUUAAAUGUUGAAACCAACUUUAUCAGUCCGCCCGUAAUUGUUAGGCUCGUGCAAGCCCUGCUCAAAUGUCGCACCAUCGAGGAGUUCAGGGCCUCCAAUCAACGAUCUGCGGUGCUUGGCAACAAGAUUGAAAUGGAGAUCACCAAUUUGGUGGAGAAGAACUCGUCGCUUCUGCGACUUGGCUUGCAUCUGGAGUUCAACGAUGCGCGUCAUCGCGUGGCCGCCCAUCUGCAGCGCAACAUCGACAGAAUACGUGUGAAUCGCCUCAAUCAGCGUAAAUAAAAAGACAAAACAUGCCACAACCAACCAACCAACCAACCAACCAACCAACCAACAACAACAGCAACAACAACCUUUGUUUGUGUGUGAGCGCGUGUGUGUGUCUUUGUUCUUAUUGUCCAACUACUUAUGUACUAAUUAACAACAACAACAACACCAGAACCGGCUGAUGCAACUACAACAAGAACAACAACUGCAACAAGUAUUCUCUGUGUUCAGCUCAACAACAAGUACAACAACAACAACAACCAUCUUGUGAUUUUCCCCUCCUGUUGACUGUUAAACACCGUCCUCUGUGUAACCGCAACUACAACAACAACAACAAGCACAACACCACCCAAACGACCCACACCCAACAACCAGCCGCAAAACUAACACCGAAGAAUGAUGUUAACAAGCAUUGGUCGCCAGCGUCGCAUGGGUCACCUGACCAGGAACUAUACCAUUGGUGCUUGGCCGUAGGCACCGGGACCUUUUGGCAUCGCCAUCAUAUACUCGAUAUAUGUGCUUAUAUGAACUACAUAUAGUUAAUAUAUAUAUAUCAUACUUGUUGUUGUUGUUUUACAAAAGUUGUGCCACUCGCUGGUCGCGCAAUUCUUUUGUUUCAAUGUUUGUUGCGUUCUAUAUGAUUUAAUUAUAAUUAUUAUUAUAAUUUUUUUUUUUUUGGCCAGAUAUGGGCCUUGUGUUCGUUUAUCUGCGUAUAUACCUAAUCAAUUGUUAUUUGAGUAAUGCGAUUGUUUGUUGUCAAGCACACACACACACACACAUAUGUACAUCUACACACACACAAACAAAUUGAAAUUAAUUUUAUCUAGAAAUUGACAUUGUUAAAAUUUACAAUUACCAAAUCGAAUUAACGCUUUUGUCACCUUAACAAAAAAAAAAUGUUUUCCUUAAGCAAUUGUCAAUUUCGGAUUUGUCGGAUUUUUACGCGGCCGCUUCACACGCGCUCUUUUUGCAAAGAUUGUAAUUUUAAAACUACCUUUUGUUGUUGUUUUUAUAUUCGGUUAAAUUCAAAAUUUAAUUUGUUUUAUUUCGUUUAGUUUUUAAAGAAGAGAGUGCACAUGGAAAGUGCUUGAGCUUAUAUUUACAUGCAUACACAUACAUAUAUAAUACUUAUAUAUACAUAUAUAUAUAAAUAAAUAUAUAUAUAUUCAUAUUCACAUAUGAUACAUAUACAUAUAGCCAUGGUCUCUGAAACAAUUUACUGCUAUUGAAUUAUAAAAUUGCUUAAACAUAAUAUUACAACCUAUGUUUAACUACGCAUAUAAACAAAAACGGAUACAAUUGUAUAUUGUAAUGAUAUAUCAUACUUUAUAUGAUCUAAUGCGAUGCUUUUAAAAUACAACUUUUAAAAAUCAUGUAAAAA